AUACAGACCAUUUGGGUAUCUUGUUAAAAUGUAGGUUCUGAUAUGGGAGGUCUUCGGCGAUGCUUGGAAUUUUACUUUUCCAACAAACUCCCGGGUGAUGCCAAU
rnacentral:pre_miRNA from 1 species